rnacentral:tRNA from 1 species
GCCGGGAUGGUCUAAUCGGUUAAGGCGUCGCCCCGAACAGGCGAAGGUUGUGGGAUCAAUGCCCACUCCUGGCC